GAGUGGCAGAGACAGAGACAGAGGCUGUUGGUCCCUCAGAGUGAGGCAGACAGCCAGUGAGUCAGAGAGCCCUGGAGGCACCCAAGAAGGAGAAGACAAAGGAGAGGCCCAGACAUAGACCGGAAGAGGACAGAUGAGCCAGCAUCCACACAGACUUUACCUUCCAUGGUCCAGGCAACAGAUAAGAGUGCCAAUGAGCUGAUCCAAUGAGGAUUAUCAAGGUGCACAUAACAGUCUAGAAGGAGACAGGAAGAGCUUCCACGAGUCAAGGCAACUGAAGUACUGGGAGUCCACAGAUGCACCUUCUCAAGAAAAGAAAGUGGGAACACUCAGAGGCUAUCUGAAUGGGAUCCACACAGGACAAGGCAUGGAUUACUGCUCUAACCACUGGAUACUGACUCUGGAUGAUGUUUAUCUAGUCAUUCUUUCUUGGGAGUAGGGCUCUGUGCCCAGGACAGUGUCUUCAGAACCCUACUCCUUCCCCUCCCUUCUCUUUUGAAGGCCCACCAUGAACUCACCUGCAGCCUGCUUUCCUGGAACCCUCAGAAGCCAGAGGCUAUGUGUUGUAUGUUAGCAAGUGGGAAGGGAUGGUUGGGAAGGGACCAGACAAAAAAGAGGAUAAGAAAA
rnacentral:lncRNA from 1 species